rnacentral:piRNA from 1 species
UGCCGCUGUAGAAAAAAAACAUAUUCCC